GACGAACGCUGGCGGCGUGCUUAACACAUGCAAGUCGAACGGAAAGGCCCUGCUUGCAGGGUCCUCGAGUGGCGAACGGGUGAGUAACACGUGGGUGAUCUGCCCUGCACUUCGGGAUAAGCCUGGGAAACUGGGUCUAAUACCGGAUAGGAGCCAUUUUUAGUGUGAUGGUUGGAAAGUUUUUUCGGUGUAGGAUGAGCUCGCGGCCUAUCAGCUUGUUGGUGGGGUAAUGGCCUACCAAGGCGGCGACGGGUAGCCGGCCUGAGAGGGUGGACGGCCACAUUGGGACUGAGAUACGGCCCAGACUCCUACGGGAGGCAGCAGUGGGGAAUAUUGCACAAUGGGCGCAAGCCUGAUGCAGCGACGCCGCGGGGGGGAGGACGGCCUUCGGGUUGUAAACUCCUUUCGCUAGGGACGAAGCUUUUUGUGACGGUACCUAGAGAAGAAGCACCGGCUAACUACGUG
rnacentral:rRNA from 1 species